rnacentral:misc_RNA from 1 species
GAUGAAGAACGUAGCAAAAUGCGAUACUUGGUGUGAAUUGCAGAAUUCAGUGAAUCAUCGAAUCUUUGAACGCACAUUGCGCCCCUUGGUAUUCCGAGGGGCAUGCCUGUUCGAGCGUCAUUAUAACCCCUCAAGCUCAGCUUGGUGUUGGGGCCUGCUGCACUGGCAGCCCUUAAAAUCAGUGGCGGCGCCAUCUGGCUCUAAGCGUAGUAAUUCUUCUCGCUAUGGAGUCCUGGUGGAUGCUUGCCAUCAACCCCCAAUUUUUCUAUGGUUGACCUCGGAUCAGGUAGGGAUACCCGCUGAACUUAAGCAUAUCAAUAAGCGGAGGA